GGGGGACCUUCGGGCCUCGCGCUAUAGGGUUGGCCGAUGGCUGAUUAGCUAGUUGGUGGGGUAAAGGCCUACCAAGGCGACGAUCAGUAGCUGGUCUGAGAGGACGACCAGCCACACUGGGACUGAGACACGGCCCAUACUCCUACUGGAGGCAGCAGUGGGGAAUUUUGGACAAUGGGCGAAAUCCUGAUCCAACAAUGCCGCGUGUGUGAAGAAGGCCUUCGGGUUGUAAAGCACUUUUGUCCGGAAAGAAAUCCUUGGCUCUAAUACAGUCGGGGGAUGACGGUACCGGAAGAAUAAGCACCGGCUAACUACGUGCCAGCACCCGCGGUAAUACAUAGGGUGUUUUCGUUAAUCGAAAUUACUGGGCGUAAUGCGCGCGCAGGCGUUUUGCUAAGACCGAUGUGAUAUCCCCGGGCUCAACCUGGGAACUGCUUUGGUGACUGGCAGGCUAGAGUAUGGCAAAGGGGGGUAGAAUUCCACGUCUACCACUGAUAUGCGUAUAGAUGUGGAGGUAUACCUAUGGCGAAGGCUACCCCCUGGGCCACUACUGACUCUCAUGCAAGAAAG
rnacentral:rRNA from 1 species